CAACAUACAUGCAUGUAUCUUCAAAUUCUCUGAACUUAAUAAGGUAUAUAUUAUUUACUGUAUUUAUUUUUUUCACCUAUUUUGAGGAAAUUCUAAUAGUGGUAAACAUGAAAAACCAAGUAAAUAUUGUCUCAGUAGAAAGUGGCAUAUGAUAGUUGAGAAAAGUCAAAACCUUUCUGCUGUGUAAAGCCAUCCACACAGGACAACAGCUCACUAGUAUCAUGCAGAGCUCAACUGAAACCCAAGGUGAUGCAAGACAAGUGGCCAUGUUCACCCUUGACAUUAGUGUUGUGUUGACUAUGACACUGGUUGUUUGAGUUCCCAGGAAGCUUGGAACAUUAUGGCUUCAGGCUCUAGGACUUCCAUAGUGUUCAGAGUAAUCUUGAAACUUCAUAUAAUUAAAAGUUGCUGUUUGUUCAUAAUUAGGUGAUGGGAUGAGUUAAGGAUGUAGUUUCUCUUCCAUAAAACACACACACCCACCAACCCACCUACCCACACACACACACACACACACACGCACGCACGCACACACACACACACACACACACACACACACACACACACACACACACACACUCUAGAAAACUCAGAAACCUAUCAUGAGGACAUAAGAAACUUAAGAAGAUAAGGGGAGAUAAAGAUGUGCAGAAAUGUAGUUUUCCAAACAGAACAAUAUACAUAAAUUUGAAGAAAACAAUUAGGACUUUGAAAAUGGAACAUAAUGAGUUUGACAAUCUCCUAUAAAUAUAAAUGGAUAAACAAACACACAUAUACAGGACUGCUGCUCUCUGCUCUUGUCAAGCAAUAAGGUCUGAAAUCCUCAACUAAAACACCAUAUGUUUUCUUUAUUAGUUGAACAAACUAAGAUAAAACAAUGAUAUCUUUUAAUCAGUUUGAUAUUGGGUCAAAACUGAAAAUGUGUGGUAUGGAAGAAUGAACAUCAUCUUGAAAGGACCCCAAAGGUUGAUAAUGAACAAAUCAGCUGAAAUCAUUCCUGAUUGUGGCACCCAUAACAAUUAAAUAUUUUCUAGUGCAAUGAGAGUAACCUCUGUAUUCAUAUGAUCAACUAAGGUGUAUUUUUGUGUGAUUUCAUGUAUAUACUAUAUUGUAUUUUUUUACAACCAUGUUCCUUUGUUUAAGCAACUGAAAAUAUUGAAAUUUUAUUGACAUGUACUAUCUGUUUUCUGAUUAUGCUGUUGUGUAAGAAAAUAGGAGAUGGAAAGCAUCAUGUCACUUAAGAUAUGAUUAUUUUUUCAUAAGAUAAAGGGAGGUAACACACACUCUCUCUCUCUCUCUCUCUCUCUCUCUCUCUCUCUCUCUCUCUCUCUCUCUCUCUCUCUCUCUCUCUCUCUCUCUCUCUCUCUCUCUCUCUCUCUCUCUCUCUCUCUCUCUCUCUCUCUCUCUCUCUCUCUCUCUCUCUCUCUCUCUCUCUCUCUCUCUCACUGAAUUACCAUUUUGAUUCAUAGACUAAUGGUAUAUAACUGUAAAUCAGUAUAAGGAUUCUUCCUGGGUGCUUAACUUUCACAUGGGUAUAAUUGAAAUACUAAAAGAGCCCCUCUCUUCUUUUCUUCAAAUAUUGCAGAACAUUCUUUUGCUACAUACAUCAUCCAGCAGGCAGUGCAGAUUUAAAUGUACAGUGAACAUGCUGAGCAUAACUUUUGUAUGCAUGCAUUCAUCAUUUGUGUGCAUUCUCCACUUUCAAAGGUUGUCAAGGAGAACCCAAAGAAUUUAGUACUUGAAAUUUCUUAAAAUGUGUAAACAUUUUGAUCAAAAUGUAUUAUUUUAUGAUUCUUUUGAAAUUAGUCAGAUGGUAUGAACACCAUGGAGGUAGGUAAGUACUUGGGAGAUGUUGUUGCAAUAAGUAGAUGGCAAAAUAUGAUUGAAAUUAACUGGAUAUUGCAUGACCUUGAUGAAAUUUAGAAGUGUUUGUUUUUAGUACAUGGUUACACCUUUUUUUUAUUUUUAUUUUUUUAUCUUUUAAAAGUAUGAAACGUAAUUUUUUUUUCUUUUUUCAUCUUCAACAAGAAAGUCAAAGAAUAUAAUACACUAUAAGAAUCUUCAAAAUAAUUAUUGAAUCAUAACCCAAGACUAUAAUGAUUUCCCUCUUCAUGGAUAUGAUGGCUAAUAAGGUCUUCAACAUUAAUGAAAAGGAAGGAAUAUUACUGAUCUGCACAAUGUAGGUAAACUAACUUUGAAAAUGUCAGGAGUUUUUUGUUUAAGAUAAAAUCAUUAAUAUGUUAAAAGUAAAUUGGAAAUUCAUAUGUCUGCAUUUUUUUUUUUUUUUUUAAUAUAUAUAUAUUGUAAUGCUUCAUCAUAUUAGUGUUGCUAAAUGAUAAAUGUUGAAUGUGUGUCUAUAUGCCCUAUACACCUUAGUUGUGGAGUCAUUUCCUUGUAGUCUUUCUUUGUUUUCCUCUACAGUAUUAGUAAUCUUACAUAGUACUGUGAAAUGUCUAAAUUAAAAACAUCAGGUAACCUUUGGGCUUAGAGGAGCAAGGGAUGAACAGGCUUUUAGUGACUAUUUGUAGUUACUACUUUUACUUGGUAUGUUGUGAAGCACCUAAACAUUGUGCACUCAGAUCUUUGAAACAAUAGCCAUAUAUGUGUGUCAGAUAAAAAGAUGAAUGGCCAAGUUGUCGUGUUUCUGUGCAUUAGCUACACUAGGUGUAUUUAGUUUGCUGUACACACUGUAUCCUCAUAAGAGUCUUUGAUGUCACCUGUGAGUGACUCCUAAAGUGUUAUGUGGCAAUGACAAGAGAAAUGAUGAUGCUGUAAUGGAAGUAUGGUAAUGGAAGACAUUCUUCAUGCAAGAUUGUGUUUCAAAUUACAUGAUGAGGAAUGUGUAAAAGUUUUGCCUGCAUACUCACUUUAGUUGCGACAUGAAGAUAUUUAUUGGUUGAAAUUAUAUUUACACCAUGAUAUUUGGGGGAAACUCACUGAAACUAAUCACUGAUGUGGAUGUACUUAUUGCUAAUGGUAAGAUAUUCAAUGUGACACAUUAAAGAGAUUAUCUGUUUGAACAGAGUAUUGUCUUUGAUGAGGACAAAGUAACAAUAUUUUGGCAGUUGUCUUAAGAGAAAUUCUGUAUUUUUUCAGCAGCCAGUUAUAUGAAAUAAUAUUAAAAUAUGGUCUGUAAGUUAAUGUAAUUGUAUUUCAAGAUAAAUGCAUUCUUAUGAUUUGGGACUUCAAAAAAAUUAUUCAAUGUUUUUUGGGGAGGAGGGAUGACCAAAGUACUCCAGUCAGUGUUAGUAGUGCUAGAGGAAACUGCACUUCCUAUUUGUAUUGAUUUAUGUAGAUUUCUUUUUUUCAAUUGUUUAUUAUCACAACUCACUUAGAUUUUAGAAUAAUGCCAUUCCAAAGGUCUUUUUUUCUGAGUUGAUAACAAUUUGUCCAUCUCAGAAGUUUCAUUCAGGGAACAACACUAAUAAACUUUAGAUAAUAAUAUGAGUAGUUGUAUGUUAAAUUUACAUUUUUUCCCUGCAGCAAUAUAAUACUUUUAUUUCCAUCUACAAAGCUUGCAAAUCCUUCACCAGAAUUUUCAUUGACACAAUCAUAAGUACCUUUCUUAUCACUGAUCACUUCAUGAACUUUUGAAGAAAGGUUUUGUUAUAUAGAAUUAUUCUUGGUUUGACUUGUCUUCACUCAAUCUCACUUUAAGACUCCAUGAAAGUCCAUUUUCUUAAUAAUUUGAGCUUCAAUAUCUUGGCAAUUUUGCCUCCUACAUAUGUUCACAUUUGAUUGAUUAAAUAUUUUAUCUUUGGAAACAUACAGCACCAUGAUUAUUACAAUGAUGUGAUAAUGCAUUCCAGGAUCAUGUUGAACUAAACACUUGUUUUACAGCUACAACCAAUAUAGGAAUUGAUGCAUCUUUACAAUGUGUCUUGAUUUGCAGGACAUGAUUCUUCAAGAUGCAAAUAUUAUGUGCAGUUAAAAUAUACAUCAGCAAAUGAUUUCCCAUACAAACUGGAAUGUAUUUUCAUUUCCAUUACUUUUUUCUUAACCAUUGGUUGCCUGUGACUCAAGGAUGGUAUGCUGUCUUACUGUAGAGCCUGGAAGUAAUGUAAAAUAAUGUACAUUUAUGUAACCUUCGUAUUUGUGUAAAUAAUUUGUUAUUGGACAUAAAGGGAAUUCAUGU